AUACCUAUACGUUGCCUCGGCGGAUCAGCCCGCGCCCCGUAAAACGGGACGGCCCGCCCGAGGACCCUAAACUCUGUUUUUAGUGGAACUUCUGAGUAAAACAAACAAAUAAAUCAAAACUUUCAACAACGGAUCUCUUGGUUCUGGCAUCGAUGAAGAACGCAGCAAAAUGCGAUAAGUAAUGUGAAUUGCAGAAUUCAGUGAAUCAUCGAAUCUUUGAACGCACAUUGCGCCCGCCAGUAUUCUGGCGGGCAUGCCUGUUCGAGCGUCAUUUCAACCCUCAAGCUCAGCUUGGUGUUGGGACUCGCGGUAACCCGCGUUCCCCAAAUCGAUUGGCGGUCACGUCGAGCUUCCAUAGCGUAGUAAUCAUACACCUCGUUACUGGUAAUCGUCGCGGCCACGCCGUAAAACCCCAACUUCUGAAUGUUGACCUCGGAUCAGGUAGGAAUACCCGCUGAACUUACGCAUAUCAUA
rnacentral:rRNA from 1 species